AUACGGAGGGUCCGAGCGUUAUCCGGAAUCAUUGGGUUUAAAGGGUCCGUAGGCGGGAAUCUAAGUCAGUGGUGAAAUCUUGCAGCUCAACUGUAAAAUUGCCAUUGAUACUGGAUUUCUUGAAUUAGCGUGAAGUGAUUAGAAUGUGUAGUGUAGCGGUGAAAUGCAUAGAUAUUACACAGAAUACCAAUUGCGAAGGCAGAUCACUAACACUAUAUUGACGCUGAGGGACGAAAGCGUGGGGAGCGAACAGAAUUAGAAACCCUAGUAGUCC
rnacentral:rRNA from 1 species